UGGCAUGGGGGUGAACGUGAGGUGGCCUUUGGCCGUAUGGCGCAUAGUCAAUGCGGAAUGCUGAUAUGCCAAGGGUGUUGAGUCCUGGAAUCUGCUCAACAUUUGCAUCUGUUUCAUCAACACCAAGUCGAUUUGCUGUGUUGCCAGGCUUGUCUAGCCCUGAGAAGAAGAAAUCUUCAGCUCUCGCAAGCUUGGGGUCCUUGCAGAACUUCCCGUUCACAAACACUACAAGAACACACACACAUACAGACACAAAGUGGGAAAAAAAUGAAUAAUUAAGUAGCAGCACAAAUUAUAUUGAAAAUUAUAUGUUUCAUCAGUUCAGCUUAUGUACCACCAUCCUUGGGGUCAUUGAUGGCUACAAAGAUAUCUUGAAGCGGGCUGGGGUCAGAGGCUGAGGCCAAAGAAGAAGCCAAAGCUAAGAGAGCAAAACCUAUAAGAAAUUGAAUUGCCUUCAUGGUGAUUAAUUAACAGGAUGUACCUAUCUCAAAACUUUAAUCAAGUGUUGUGAUUUGAGAAUCUUGGGAGGGAAACUAGACUAUUUAUAGAACGGAGUCCAUGAACGAGUUUGUGUGUUCAAUUAAUAGUCCUCGAAGCAGGUCAAGACUUGCUGAGUCCUCAGUGCUUAUCUUUGUAAUGUUUUGCGGUCCUCAUUUUCGUUUUUCUUUUUAAAAUUUACGUGUAGAACUUGUUCGGUGGUACACAUCUUAAAUAUAAAUAGCAAACAUACGAAACAAAGUCUGGCUGAUAGUGAUAAAAUCCAAAACAGGUUAGACACGUUUGCGCCAAUCUUCAAAACGAACCGUAAAAUAUAAUAAGAAACAAUAUUUUACGCAUUUUCCAAAGCAUAAUUAAAAUAUAAUUUUUUUCAUUGGAAAGAAACGAAUUGAAGAAUUUAUGAAAAUGGGUGAGAAAGAAAUUCAUGUCUCUGGCAAGCAGACUAGCAGUUGGACGUCGUGUUCUGUAGAUAUCGAUGUUACCGGACUUGUUUGGUUUGUUGUUGGGCUUAAUGAAGAAGCAUUAUUAGCCUUUUUUCCUUUUUCAUAGCAAUUUUCGUAGCUGCUUUAACCAUUUUUAGUUCUAUAAAUGCUUUACGAAGUCAAUGAUGCACAUGUUUUUUUCAUUACGUGUUAAAGUCACAGAUCAUCUGCUUCAAAACGUUAAGACUAGGAUCAGGAGGAACCAAAUUCUUCCAUCUUAUUUUCAGCGGUCACGUUAAUUAGAGCCUGGAGUCGGCACGUUUCGUUAGUGAUAUCCUUUUACAAUGUCAAUUGAUAUAUAUCAUUUCAACUUUAAAAGCUAAUUUUAAUAUUGAAUAAUUUUUUUUAAAAAUCCCUUUUAGUAAAAUCAUGUAGAUUUUGAAAAGUAAAAAAAGAGUAGUUUUUUAAAAUUUUAUUUUGAUAAACACUUUUAUACUUAAUACAAUUUCAUAUAUAUCCUUAUAUAUAAGAGAAAAAUCCAAAAUCAUCCUUAUUAAUUAAAAAUAAAAUUAUUAAUUUGAAAGAGAUUAUUAUUAUUAUUACCAAUUAUAUUGAGAUAACAAAAUAAAAAUAAAAUUAAUAAUAUAAAACAUUUAUUUUAGUUAUCAAUUAUUAUAUAGACACAACUAAAAAUAUUUUAUUUAUAUGUUUAUAAAUGUGUAAAUAAAUUUUAUUCAACAAAUUUUCUCUUCAAUCAUUUACAUUCUUACAUCAUUUUAAUAGUAAGAUUUACCAAAUAAAUACGACUACUUUUAGAACUCACAACAUUGUAGCAAAUGGCUAACCAAUUGUUGAAAACGACAAACUAAUAAUUUCCAGAAAGCAUGUUCUACAAAGGGUUGUUAAAAUGAUGAUUCUGAAAAAUAACGAUGAAUCGUUUACUGAAAACGGUGAUUCGAUAAUUUUUAGAUUGUAACUGUGAGCCAUUUAACAAGAACGGAUAGCCAAAAUUUGUUUUGCAAGUCUUUGGAAAUAAACAGCUAACCGAUAACUUCAAACGGUGAACCGAUUAUUUAAAAUCUUAGCUUAACGGUCAUUUGGACUAGUCAAAAUGGUUAGCCGAUAGCAGUUAACGACGAUCCGAUUUCUCCCAGAAAGUCAACAACGGCUUGUUUUCAGCUUCAACUAUAAAAUGACUCAAUCAAAUUCAAAUGAGAGGUGAUCCAAGAGUUAUCAUUGAGCUUGCAACUGAGAAUACAACCUUUAUUGAGCCUUAAACUUAUUCUUGUUUCAUUUAUUCACACUUUGAGAUUUCAUUUGUAAUCAUAUAUAUUGUGUGAGUGAAAAUUUAUUUGUAAUAUUCUUUACUUUGAGUCAUUGUAAGUGUUGGGAUAGACUUGAAUUAAGAGAUUGGGGAUAAUCUCUUAGUGUAAAGGUUUAUUGACACAUUUAAAGUCAAUUGUAAGUGUUCUUGAAGCCUUGGAGGCUUGAUUAGUGGAAUCCUCAAAGCCGACGAGCUUGGAUGCGUGGACGUGGGCAGGGUUGGCCGAACCACGUAAAAAUCUCUGUGUUUGAUUUUCUCUUCCCUUAUCUUUUUUAAUUUUGUGCUUUGAUUGAUUUUAUUAUUAUUGUGUGGUUUUGUUUGUUUAAAGUUUUAGAAACCCAAUUCACCCCCCCCCCCUCUUGGGUUGCCUAACUAGUAUUUCAAACAAAACAAAAACUUGCAAACAUAACAUAAAACUAGUAAAUCAACACUAACUAUAUAUAUAUAUAUAUAUAUAUAUUGGAAAUGAAACAUAAGACUUGUAAAAAGAAUGUAAAAUAUAUAAAUUACUAUAAAAUAGUAAAUUGAUGUAUUAUUGGUAAAUAAAAUGAAAACUUAUAAAUAUAACGUAAAACAAGUAAAUCAACAUUAAAUGUAAAAUAAAACAUAUAGUUUGUACAUUAUGCCUAAAACUUAUGAAUAAAAGGCAAAAUAAGUAAAUUAAUAUAAGAGUUACUGCAAAAAAAAAAAAUCACAAUUGUAAAAUAAAACUCGUUAGAAUGUUUAUUAUCUUAUAUAUUUAUUGAUUUUUUAAUUUAAAUUGAGUAAUGUUAGUUUUGCAAUUAUGUAAUACAUGUGUUGUUUUAUUAAGUAUGAAAUUUAUUAGGGGUGUUUGCGGAUCAGAUUUUACGGAUUUGACAUCAAUCCAUAUCUUAUCCAUGAUUUUAUAGAUUAUAAAUUUUCAAUCCAAUCCAAUUCACGAAUUGGUGAAAUUUAAUCCAAAUUCAAUCAAUACGUCUGCAGAUUAGGUAUGGAUUUGACCCAAUCUAUAUUUAAUCCCCUAUUUUGCGGAUUGGUUUGCAGAUUGAAAAUUUUUAAUUCUGUCCAAUCCACGAACUAACUAAAUAAAAAAUCAAUAUAAAAAUAAUUUUACUACUGGUCAAAUUUAAAAUUAAAUAAGAUUAAAAUAUAUUUAUUGUUUAAAUAAAGCUAAAAAAAAAUUUAAACUUUCAAAAUAUAACACACCAAAAAGAAAAUAAAAAUCAUUUGUUUAGAUCAGUACAUGAAAAAUAACUGUUUAGGAAACUAUAUUUGUUUGUUUAAUUAUUUUUUAUUUUAUAUAUUAUCGGAUAAGAUAUAAUAUAGUGUUAAUGUAACUAUAUUUCAACUUAUUUAUUUACUAGUAAGUACUAAUGCUAUAUUUACAAGUUUUAUUUUUUAAUUAAAUAAAUACUUUUAUUUUUUUACUGAUUCACAUAUUUUUGCGGAUUUACAGAAGUAAAUUCAUAUCCAAUCCACCAAUUGCGGAUUAUCAAAUUUUCAAUUCAAUCCAAUUCAAUCCAUCAAUCUACAGAUCGGAUUUUUACCUAUCGGACAAAUUGAGUGGAUCAUAUUGGAUUCUGAACACCCCCAAAAUUUAUGAUCAAAAUCGAAUUUUGAAAAAAAUUAUUAUUUUAAUAUUUUUCAUAGUUGUUGUAAAAUGAGGUUAUUUUGCAUCUUUCUACACUUCCUCUAGAACAAUCCUAAAUGGUCUUCAAAUACAAGUAAAAAGUUUGAAAUAACAUAAAGUAUGUAUAAUACUCCAAAUUAGAUCUAAUUUUAUUGAUAAAUCAUAUGUAUGUCUAAAAAUAUAAGAAUAUUUUUUUAUUUUGUUUUUACUUGAUCCACAUCAAGAUAAAUAAUUGCGUUUAAUUAACAUGUGUAAUAAAUGGAUAUCGUUAUAGAAGAUGGGGAAAAAAAGUACAAUAAUGCUACAUAUCCCAAAUAUUAAUCCCAAAACUCAUCCCAAGUGAUGUGGCAGCUGACAUGGCAUCCAACUUAUAAAUUUAUUCUAAAUUAAAAUAGACCCCUCUAAAAUACUUUAUUUUAAAGUAAAUCCCUUUUACAACUAAAAGUCUUUUGCUCUAUCGUUUUUGGCCUGGCUGCAAACUGAACGAACAGAGACGAAUAGAGAGAGUAAGUUCAGGGAGAGCAAAGUUUUCGGUUUCUUCUCACUCAUGACAAGUUCGUUCUUUUACCAAACUAUUUUACUAGCACUCAACAAUAUCAUGUAUUUAUUGAUUCCUUUUUGUUUAUUUUUUUAUUAUUUAUCAUGUAUUUACAUUAUUUUUUUGUGAUUGAGAUAGCAUAUUUUGGUCAAAAGAAUAAGAGGACUGAUGGCGGUGUAUAGAUCUGGUAAAAGAUGGUUGUAUUCGAUGGUAUCAUCUCAUCGCUUUCCAAUCUGCUUGGUUAGUCUGUGGCCUUUUGUAUUAUUGCUUUUGUUUUCUAAUUGAUUUUGAUUUUCCUUCCUAAAUACAAAUAAUAAGAAUAAAGAUUUCAUUUUUCGGUUGCUAGAUUUUGUAUUGAAUAAUUUUCUUCCUCUUUAUCAAGUAACUAAAAAGUUUUUAAUUUUUGUGUUUUACACAUAUUACACUUAAAACGUCUUUACUUUUAUUGCAUUAUGCUCUUGUUCAUUUAUUUUGUGUUAAAUAAUCAUGUGUAUUGUAUAAUUUCUCCACUUUUUUUUUUUAUUUAAUGCUAUAAUUUAAUCUAGGUCAUGUUGAAGAUCACUUUUUUUAUUUUGUUUCACCCUGAUUGCUCCAGUGGUUCAGCUUGCGUGUUUUGGAGAAAAAAUUGUCCAGUUAUCGGCAUUAGUUUUUAAUGCCAAAUUGCAGUUCAUAGAGUAGACAGUGAGGAGGUUGCACAAGCUGAAGUGCUCUUUGUGCUAGAAUGGGCAAGAAAGCAGAGUUAUAUGACAGAAAGUUAAUAGAUUUCGUCCAGUGAUUAUUCAUAUUCAAUAGUUAGUAGCAAUUAACAUAGGGAAGAAAAUAAAUUAACAUUGUAAUUUAUUUCAAUGAAACCCAAGAGAAAGGUUUCUUCUGUAAACUCAAUAUGUACUGAAAAUUAAUCUACACUUAAUUAGCUUUGCCAUUCGAAGAGAAAUUUUUCAGCAAUAUUCAUUCGCAUUAUUAUAAAAAAUUGAAGAUGUACUUCAGUCCUAACUAAAAUGUUCACUCUUUUUUUUCUUUUAAAGGAAAAUUCAUUAACUAUAAGAACAUAAAAUCACAAAGACAUAACAUCUGGAUUGUAUUGUUACUAUAAAAUUGCAAUAGCUCAACCUAUAAUCAUCCAUGCAAUUAAAAAUCCAUAAUUCAUCAUAAAUUUCAGAGCAAAAACUGAACCGUGAAAGUAAUUUAACAAUAAUCUAACAUUAUUGUUUGAUAACAUAAUGUUUUCAAAUAAUUCUUGUACUCCAUCUUUUUAUGUUUGGCUUCUUGCUAGAUACUUCAAUCUCUUUACAACUCUCGAGUGACCUGCAUACGUUACAAAGGAUUAGUUAAAAAGAAAAAGCUAAAGAUUUGUAACUAUGAGAAAAGAUAUUAUUUAUUUAUCUAUGUAGUACCCUAAAUAUAAAAAAAAUGACAUCAACCUAAUGACAAUAAGAAUAACAUACUCCUCAUAAUUAUAUACCAAGCAAAAAGAAUAAAAACACAUUACCUGCAUUGGAUUAUCAGAAGUAACCAUUGCAUGAGUGGUGUUGUUCUCCAAUCCAUAUCUUUGUGUUUCACUACUUAUCAUUUGAGAUCCCUUGAAUAAAAUAAUAUGUAGGAAUUAUAAGUAAUGUAUAAUAAAAUAUUUGAUAAGCAUUUUGGAUAAAAUUUAUUAAUUUCAUACCUUGGUCGUUUUCUUUUGCUUUUUUCUCUGAAUAAUUUGCUCGACCUUAGACUGCCUUCGUUUGUAAGGUGGAGGACCUUUACUUCUAACUGCUAGUGGAGAAAGAAUUUUACCAUUAUGACUGCCACGAACCUCCCCAUAUUUUGUUGUGCCAUGAGCUAUAUUACUUCCACGUUGACUAAUUUCACCCCCACCUCCAUUUAGCAUUAGUUUUGCUUUCAAAUAAUCUAAUACCUCCAACACCAUAUUGCAAUUAUUCUCAUUAUUAGUCGCUAGUUCAGCUACAUCAUAAAAAAAGUUGCACAUCUUAUCAAAUCUAAGUCCUUCAGGUUUUAUGCUCCAAUUGUCAUUACUUACUUUCACCUCAGUGUGACAUCUUUUUAUAUCCUUUCUCCAUCGCCUCAAAAUAUACUGUUCUGGAAUAGAAAAUAUUUCUUUAUGAAUAAGCACUGCAAUGAUGUGUCAACAUAAUAUUCCCUUAAACUCAAAUAGUCGACACUUACAAUUAAUCUCACAAUUAACCUCAUUAAAAGAAACUUCAAAAGGGUCACGACGAUGAUUCUCUCCAAUUUUAACAUCUUCAACUACUACAAACUUUGAAGUUAAAAUAUUUGUUUGACAUGAAAAUAUCUCACAAAAGAUUUUUCCUUUUAACUCUUGCUGAAAUUCUCUGAAUUUUUCCAUUGUAUAAGUAUCUCGGAAUUGCUGCUCCAUGGCAUAAUGAGUAACACAAGGGAUAUUAGAAUUCAAAUCAUUAAAAUCGGCAUGAUUUUCUUUUUCCACCUUGUCCCGUAGUGCAUUUCCAUAUUGUUCAACAAAUUAUUUUAGAGGAGUUUUUGAAUUUACAUACCCAUCAAAGAAUGCAUGCAUACUCUCACUGCGUUGUGUUGUAGACAUUCCUGCCCAAAAUAUAUCCUUCACAUAUGCUGGAACCCAAUAUUGCCUCUCAUCAUACAAGUUUUGCAACCAUUCAUUGUUAUUAAGAUUAUAUUUUUCAAUGAACACCAUCCAACGUUCAUCAAAAUCAGAAGGUAUUAAAUAAUCAUAAACAAUAUUCUGCAUAGUCAACUUGAUCACUUCAUAUUUCUUGUAACCUUUCAAUUUUUCUGGAAACUUUUUCAUUAUAUGCCACAAACACCACCUAUGUUGCGCAUGCGGAAAGACAACUUCAAUCGCCUUUUGCAUGGCCUUAUCUUGAUAAGUGAUUAUGGCAUUUGGAGCACAACCAGACAUACAUUUAAGCCAAGAUCGAAAAAGCCAUACAUAUGUGUCAAUGUCCUCGUUAGAAAUCAAACCACAUCCUAAUAAUGUUGAUUGUCCAUGAUGAUUGACCCCAACAAAAGCAGCAAAUGGUAUAUCAUAUUUAUUUGUUAGAUAGGUUGAGUCAAAUGUAAUAACAUCACCAAAUUCUUUAUUCACUGCUCUACUUCUUGCAUCAGCCCAAAAUAAAUUUUUCAACCGAGCAUCUUCAUCUAAAUCCACCAUAUAAAAAAAAUUGGAGUUUCCAUUUUGCAUUUUUAAGAAAUAAUCAAGAACUGCAGAAGCAUCACCAUCCCCAAGCCGUAAGCGCCUUACUUUGUGUAAAUGAUUCCUACAAUCUUUUUCUAGGAAAGUUAAAUUCUCAUGUCCUCCUGCUUCAACCACCAAAGAAUUAAAGCUUUUAUUCGGUCUUAUUCCUGCUUGAUCAUUCAAAUCCAACUUUCUUUGAACAAACAACUUCAUUACCCUGUUGGUUUUCAGAAAACGAGCCUUACUUGGUGUGUUUAACUCAUGAUUAUGCUCAUAUGUAAUGGAUUUGACCUCCCACUUUCUGUCCAAGCAUGUUGUUGCCCUUACUUUAGCCUUACAAUUUGUUUUGGAUGUUGGUUGUAAUUUAAAAGGCUGGUUCGAUAAAGAUUUUGCCUUGCUGCUGCGUGAACAUGAAAAUGUCACAUAUUUUAACUCUCCAUCGUCUCCUUUGCUAGAGGUUCUUUUAAUAAUUUCGAAUCCCAUUAUCUUCGCAUACAUCUUGUAGAACUCAAACAAAUUUUGAGUUGUAUCAAAAACCAUGCCAAUUUUUGGCUCAAUAAUUUCUUCUGCAUUUGGUUCAUUACUUAUAUCGUUCUCGUCAUCAACCUGAUUUAAAUAAAGCAAAAAUAUCCAACUAAUUAAAAUCAUCGUCAAUUAAUACAAAUUAGAAACAUAUUAAUACAAGGUAUAAAAAAAUAAGAAUAAAAAUUAAAAAAUUCACCUCAUCAGUAAUGAUUUCUAGGGAGUUUUCUAUUUCUUUUGACUCCAAAUCCGUCAUCUCAACUGAAGGUUUUGUUCUUCCUAAAGUUCUUGUCUCUGUUCAUUCAGUUUGCAGCCAAGCAAUUCAAAUUCCAUCAAUUCAUUUUUUCUUUUCAAGAAGUGCAGAUUGUUGAGUGCUAAUAAAAUAGUUUGGUAGGAAUUACAAACCUGUCAUGAGUGAGAAGACUUUGUUCUCCCUGAACUUUCUCUCUAAUUUGCAGCCAAGCCAAAAUACGAUAGGACAAACCUGUUCAAUUUGCAGCCAGACCAAAUUUGCAGCCAGGUCGAAAACGAUAGGGCAAAAGACUUUUAGUUGUAAAAGGGAUUUACUUUAAAAUAAAGUAUUUUAGAGGGGUCUAUUUUAAUUUAGAAUAAAUUUAUAAGUUUGAUGCCAUAUCAGCUGCCACAUCACUUGGGAUGAGUUUUGAGAUUAAUAUUUGAGAUAUGUAGCAUUAUUGAAAAAAGUAUACAAAUUUCCUAUAAUAAAUCUAGAAUUUAUGGUAACUAAUUCAAUAAAACUUAUUCCACUCCUACCCCCAACACUCCCCCACCUCCCUCAAAUUCGAACAGCUCAUCCUGACCCUCGCCCACCACAAACGCUACCAGUCCAUGUGGAAGACCAUCGAACUCAUGAAACCCUACAACCUCUCCGUCUCUCCUCAAACUCUAAUACUGUUGAGGUUUUUAAUAAGUGUACCGCUUUCAAUUGUCAGCAGUGUGUUCUUUUGUAUAAUUCAUUGCUGUUUGCUUUGUGUGAAGUCAAGUUGUUUUAUGGUGCUUAUGGUUUGAUUAGGAGGAUGAUUAGAAAAGGGUUUGUCCCUGACAAGUGGACGUACGCGAUUCUUGUUAAUGCUUGGUGUUCUUCUGGGAAAAUGAGCGAGGCACGAGUUUUUGCAGGAGAUGAGUGAUAAAGGGUUCAACCCGCCUGUUCGAGGUCGUGAUUUGUUGGUUCAAGGGUUGUUGAAUGCCGGUUAUUUAGAGUCUGCUAAACAGAUGGUUAAUAAAAUGAUUAAACAAGGGUCUGAUCCGGAUUUGGAAACCUUUAAUUCGUUGAUUGAGACGAUAUGUAAAUCCGGGGAGGUUGAGUUUUGUGUUGAGAUGUAUUAUAGUGUAUGUAAGUUAGGUUCGUGCGCUGAUGUGAGUACGUAUAAGAUUUUGAUUCCAGCAGUUUCAAAGGCGGGUAUGAUUGAUGAGGCUUUUAGAUUGCUGCAUAAUUUGGUUGAGGAUGGUCACAACCCAUUCCCAAGCUUGUAUGCUCCUAUUAUUAAAGGGGCUUUUAGGAGGGGCCAGUUUGAUGAUGCAUUUUGUUUCUUUAGUGAGAUCAAGAUUAAGGGGCAUCCUCCAAAUAGGCCGGUUUAUACAACGUUGAUAACAAUGUGUGGGCGCGGGGGAAGAUUUGUUGAGGCGGCAAAUUAUUUGAUGGAAAUGACUGAGAUGGGGUUGACUCCAAUUUCCAGGUGCUUUGAUUUGGUUACUGAUGGGCUGAAGAAUUGUGGGAAGCAUGAUUUGGCUGAGAAGAUAGAGCAGUUAGAGGUAUCCCUUCGGUCUGUUUGAUGCAUGUCAAUUAGCAGUUGAAGACGAUUCUUUAAAAGAAUUUGCAUGAAUCGAAAAGAAUGCUUUUAGAUCUCCGCGUUUCCACUCCAGAAUGAUGUGAGUUCUUCAUAUGAGAAGUUAGCUACUUGUUGAAUUUCAGGUUCCAUUUGUUUUUGGCACGUCAGUAUUGUUAAUAAAUUCUUGUUAAUAUGUUUGUCAAGUUGUUCAAUUUAUUUAGUAUUACAGCAUCCCGUAGAUUGUUGCCUUUUUUCCAUGAAAUAUUUGUUCAAUUUAUUUAGUACUUUAGUCUCAAUGAAGCAUGUUGGGGAAUUAAUGUAGAAAUAGGGGUCUUGGUUGUUUUUUCAAUUAUGUGGAUGAAGCUUUGACUUAGGAACCACUACUGUAGUCUAAAGAAUAUCGUUUUCUUCUAUAUCGAUGUGAUUAACUGGGUGAUUUUUGUCAAAGGUGUUUGAAAGUUUUCUGUUGCUGAAAUCUUUCGGUUUAUUUGUUGCAUGAAGCAUGUUGGCGAAUCAAUGUAGAAACAGGAAUCUUGAUUCUUUCUUUAAUUAUGUGGAUGAAGCUUUGAUCUAGGAACUUCUUCUCUAGUCUUAAUAAUAUUAUCUUCUUCUAUAUGGUUAUGAUUAACUGGGUGAUCUUUGUCAAAGGUGUCUGAAAGUUUUCUGUUUCUGAAAUCUUUCGGUUUUAUUUGUUGCAGAUGACAACCUCUAUUUAUUCCUAUGCCCAAACAUGAAACAACUUCGGGUAGUUAGGAAAAAUAUUUUUGUGAGACUAAAAUCCAUAAAUAUAUGGAGCAUCACCUCUGUAUUUGGAGAGCCGUGAGAGAUCAACUAGUCAGAGGUUAAAAGGGUUUGGGAUCCUGUUACAAUGUUUUUAGGUUUUGUUUGGGAAAUUGUGCAGUUUCAACUUGGUUAUUUAGCUUUGCUUCUUCGGUUAUCUGCUACUCUGUGUACGUGGGUUGCUUAUUUAUAAGCACUUCUCAUUGCUUCAUUUCUAAUAUAGAAUGAACCCAAAAUUAUGUAUGAUAGAACCAAUGUUACAAAGAUAGUUCUGGCCUGUUUUGGAGAGGUGGUGCCAAUUUUAGUUCUUAUUUUAUUUGCUUACAAUGAUUUUUGGACUUCUGUUUUAUGGGAGAAAUCCACAAAGGCAGUCUUUUGAAACAGCAAUUGCAUACUCGUGGCGUGAAUGCAGUGACGUCUCUUCAGUAUUUUCACAUCUUUUUAUGCCAUAACCGAGAAAGAGCUUACUGGACCGAAGACCAUGGUGUCGCUCAAAUAUUGUCUUAGAAUUCCUACUAUUGACUUGUAUAUAAACCCACUUUUGGCUGGUGAAGAGUUAAAAGGAGAAUGUACUAGACUCGCAUAUAAAUUAUAAAUUAUAAGCUUUGUCGGAAUCUACGUUCUUUUGGCUUUUGGUCGUUUUCCACCCCAGCACGCCGUUAUUUAUUUUUAAGAAACAAUGGUCACUGUGAUUGUUGUCUUUUCUGGCUUUGUCUAGUGUUUUUCAGAGUAAUAAAUAGUUUGAUUGAUGGACUGUUGGACUGUUGGACUUGGUAUUGGAAUUUGGAUUGACGCGGGAUUAGGAUUCUCUCGUGACGCAAAGGCUGUUGGCUCGGAGAAAUGAUUACUUUGAACAUUUUUCGCAUGCAUGCAUUCUAUGAUUUUUCAUUUGCUUGACUUUGUUGUUCAUCCAAAUGAAAUCAAAUACUCAUUUGGUAUGAUAGAAUCAAUGGGCAAUCAUUUUUAUGUUAAGCUUAAAAAAUAGGUUAUCUUUGCAUAACUAUAUUUUUAUAGUUUCUGUUUCUGUGCUUUGUGCUUUCAACUACCGAUGAUGAACCGCCUACUACUUCAUAACAAUGUAUGUUAUACUGACAAUAUUUUCCGUGGCUCCUUUCAUUUAUUUAUUUAUUUAUUAAAAUUGAUAUUUUUUUUAUCUUUUCGUUUUCGACAAGGAAGGUAAUUGAGAUGUUUAACGAAGGGAUGAUGUUUUCCUUUAAAAGAAUAAAUAAAUAAAUAAAAGACAAAAUUUUAUGCCAUGGGGACAAAAUGCCACAUGAGGAGAAAUGCACGCCACUAAAUUUGGGAUAAUAAUUUAAUUUGAAUUGACAUCUAAAACAGUUGUAGGCUAACCAAUAUUUCUACAAAAAAAAAAAAAAAAAAUUCAGAGUUAUUGGUAGCGUUUUGUCUUUAAUUUUCUGAACUCUGCGCAGCUGGUGUAAUAGUCUUUGUUGCUCUUCUCUUUGCGGCUAAGGAGCCUAGAGAGAUGGAGUGAAGCUGAGCACGAACUAGGAAAGUGGAAAUGUUGAGCGUUAACAUACGUUGUGGGUGAUUUGGUACUCUCACUCCUUAAAAGAGAUCAGAUGUUUAAAUCUCGUUCUCGUAUGAAGUCACCACUUGGACCAGCACUAUACCCUUUACGGACCGAUCCGGUGCGAGCGGAGAUUAGUAUGGGUUGUGGUACAGGCUUAAAAGUGCCUCCAUAAUUGAGACCCACUCAGGACCACCUUGUAGUUCAAAAAAAAAAAAAAUACGACUACAAUCUAUAUCUCAUGGUCCCAAAACAUCCUACCAAUCAAUGCAAUUAUCAAAAAUGAGAUUCACACCACAUUCAGCACUACAAAUAGCACCGAACGGUGCAUUUUGAGGUAACUAUAAAUCACCACUGAAUCGACAAUUGCAACAUACACUGUUCACAACACGCUCUUUCGCUCUCUCCAUCACACACCGCAAAUCUCACCAAGCCACCAAUAUCACCACGCUCCGUUCUUCCUCGGCAGGCUCCGUUCUUACCGUCGGCUCUCGCUCUCUCUCUCCCCUUCAAAUCCAGCAGCGUGGGUCACUUUCUCUCUCUCCCCUCCAAGUCCACUAGUCGUGGGCACUCUCUCUCUCCCUUCCAAGUCCACUAGUCGUGGGUCACUCUCUCUUCCCACUAAAUCUAGCAACCGCAGGUCACUCUCUCUGUCUCCCCUCCAAAAUCCAGCAGCGUGGGUCACACUCUCUCUCCCCCUCCAAACCCAACGGCCGUGAGUCACUCUCUCCCUCCUUCAAAUCCAGCAGCCAGGGUCACUCUUUUUUCCUCCGAAAUCCACAGCAGCCGUGGGUCACAGCUGCCAUUGUGUCGUUGUCGACAGCUGUCGUAAUCGACUUCUGAAGGUAAUUUGCUUCCUUAGAAUAUCCUUAUUUUAAUAAUUUACUAGUUAGAAACUUAAAGUAUAACCAGGUAUUUUCCUACACUAAUUUUUUAUGCACCAGUGUAAAUAGCUAUCUCAAUUCUGUAUUCUGAGUAAAAUGCUGGAUCUAAGAUAUUAUUUGCUUUUGUGGUGAAAAUUUGGCUGCCAGAAGAAGCAACAAUCAUUAAACUUAAUGAGCCAAUGUCAUUGACUUUUGCUCUGAGAUACAUGAAUUCAUUCACAAGGGCUACACCAUUGUCGAAUACUGUUACUACCAGCCUGUCUUCAGAACUGCCUGUUGUGGUCGAGUAAAAGAUUGCUGAGAUGGGUUAUAUUAGAUUCUACUUGGCUCCCAAUACAGAAGAAGAUGAGGAUGAGACCAAGCCUCUAGCUUAAGUGUCAUUUGGCACAUAGGCUAUGGCAUUUUUUUGAAUCAAAUUACUCCUAUAUUUUAAGUUUGCUUUUAGAAUAUUUCUCGUAAAUUUUCAUGUUGAAAAACCAAGCAUUUAGUUCAGUAGAUUGAUAAAAAUUCAUUUCUUGUGCUUGCCUUUUUUAUCUUAGUACUGUUCUACAUGUAAUUGAUUCAUUUGGCUUUGUUGCUUUGAAAUGUAGGCUUUAAUUGAGUUGAAAUUUUCAGAAAUUUAUCAAAAAUGAACCAUAAACAAAAACUUCAGAUUGUUUGCUUAUUAUAACAAUGGCAAAGUUAUAGAAGAUAGCAUUAUAUUGGGUGACAAAAUGUUCUUAUGGAUGAUCCUGAUUAAAUUGUGUAUUUCACAAUGUAAUUACUUGUUGAUCAAUUUAAUUGAAUUGAUUAACACAUUGGUUUGAGUUUUAAUACUACUGCUCAGUUUUUGGGUUAAUCGAAGAUUGCAAUUUUGCAGGAACUGGUAAAUUGGACACGAUAACAAAAAACUCUCACGUAUUACCGAAAUGAUAGCUGUGAUACUUCAGCCCUUAUGAAUAGUACACAAUGGUUGCAAGCAAAUUAAUUAAUUCAUAACUUGUAAAUAAAUAAACCCAAAAAAAAAAUUAAAUGAUGGAUAAUAUGAAGGAAUCAAAUCCAGAUUUUUCCUGCAACAAACUUCCCGGAAACAAAAUUUGGUGAUAUUCCUCAAACUGAGAACACAACCUAGUGCUAUUUCCUUUGUUUGAGGUUUCUUUGUUUUUCAACAUUGAUCUAGCUAUCUUGUUGCUUUUGUUAAUGUGGACAAAACAAAUUAAUAGUGUUUAAAUUAAUUCCUACAUAUGUAUUGGCGAAAAUCAUUUGCUCUGUUUCUUGGCUUCAUUGUAGAGGACGACCCCAAUUAUGGUGAGAGUCCAGCCAGACAUCCCAGUUAUAGAUACCGGAUUUCUGAAUAUAUGAAUUGAUACAACCACUGCAAUAGCUCCUUUUGCAGUUCCAAGAACCUGAAAGCCAAACGCACUUGGUAUGUCUUAAAAUGAUGUACUUGAUUGAACUAAAUUCACAAAAAUAUUACUUAAAGAGUUAAGGCAUUGGCGUUCUUAGUGACCAAAAAAUUGGUCAAAAUGACAAAAUAUGCAAGGAAUUGAAGAUCAGAUACCAUAAGAACUCCACAUCUUGUUUAGCAAGUGCAAUUGUGAUUCCAACUACAACGUUUUCCAUUAUUAGUACAGCAGGAAGAAGGGACAUAGCAGCUACUGGAGCCAUGUCCAUGAGAAGGUUCAUAGAAUUAAACGUUUCUUUGAGACAUCAACCAAAGUACAGAAUAGGUAACAAAAGUACAAGUGAAAAAUGUUCAGAUUUCAAGUAGGUAAGCUCAAAGAAAUCUGAUAUACUUUAGAGGAGAGCAAAAUCCUUUGUAGGACUGUCUGAAGUGCCCAAGCUGGGAUGUCUGGCUAUAAGUCUUACCCCACUGGCAAUAAUAACGCCAGUAACAACAGGAAUAAAGGUCACAUAAGUAAGCCAGCCCUCCCUCUUGAGGGUCAUCAAAUGAGCAAAAACCGCUGUGAAAAACGGCGUUGUAGCCCACACAGCCUGAUUAAACAACACUGGGAGAGUGAAGCUGCUAGUCAAAUUUUUGAGACAGCUGAGAGAGUGAGGUGUCAUGAGAGAUGCAAUUGACGGAGAAGAGAGAGAGGAAGCCGAUGGUGAGAAUGGUGUGGAAGAGUGGAGCAUGGUGAGAUUGGUGGCUUCGUGAGAUUUGUGGUGCGAGGGAGAGAGGGACAGAGCGUGUGUGUUAUGAACGGUGCGUGUGUGUUGUAAUUGUCAAUCCACAGUGACAAUUUAUACUUACCUUAAAACACGCUGUACGGCGCCAUCUGUGGUGCUAAAUGUUGUGUGAAUAUCGUUAUUAAUGUAAUUAUAGUUACCAAGCCUAAAAAAUUAUUGCUUUUGCUUAGUCACGGCUGGUUGUAAGUUAUUCUCUAUACAAAAAUAUGCAAAAAGUAGUUACAGGACGGUGGACCCACUUAAUUUUUAUAUGGACGGUAAGUAACACAAAUUAUAAUUUAGCAAAACUAAAAAAUUAUAGGAAAGAAAGAAUUUUUUUUUUUUUUUUUAGCUAAAUGAUUAGAAUACAUUUACUCAUAAUUACCAAAGCAGAAAUUAAGUGAUAAUUAAGGGCUGGUGAAACAUUUAAUUUCAAACCACUAAAUUUGAGAGCUACAACAAUAAGAGAAGUUAAGUAACAAUUAAGUGCUUAUAAACGAUAACUUUUACUAUAGGUAAAGGACUUAUGUAUUCAAUAACUAACCAAGAGCUCAAGGUCAUCUCAUAUGAAUAACGCUGUUGUGUGAGAGGGAUUAUAAUUGCGUGAGAAAUGACCCCUGAUGAAUUUGGACAACCAGUAGAAAUUAGAAUUUAAAUUUUUUUUAUUUUUAAUUUUUUCCAAUAUUUCAAUGUUAUUCUCAGACAUUUAAUUAAACUUAAAUAAAUCUUAAGAACAUAUAAAAACAUGUUUUUGUAAUAGGCCUAAAACGAAACUUUAGAAAAUACAUUUUUAUGUUAAUUUCUUUUAAUUAUUUAUCUGUUACAUACAAAUAUGAUAUGAAUGUGAGAUAAACUCUUUCAUAAAUUUUGUGUUUGACAAGACCAAACCAAAACUUUCACGAAAUAAAUAAUUAAUUAGUUAAUCCAAAACUACUCUGGUUAAUGUGUUACAUGUAGAAUGUGUUUGAAUAAAUUAAUUUAUAAUAAUUUUAAACAAAAUAAAUUUAGUCUAUUUAUAUUUCACUCGUAAAUGGGAGUUCUUUUCACUCUUCGGCUUCUAGACUCUUGCAAUUUAGGGUUAUCACUAUUACUACUACUACUACUACUACUACUACUACUACUACUAUUAUUAUUAUUAUUAUUAUUAUUAUUAUUAUUAUUAUUAUUGUUCUUGGUCAUAAUUUUAAAAUUUGUUGGGAAAUCUAUGGAAUUAUAUAUCAAACAUCUAAAUUAAUAAUAUGUAUGAAAUAAAUUGCAUCCCACACAAAUAUAAAUAAUAAUUUUACUUGAAUUAAACACACAAAUCCUAUAUUAUAAUAUUAGGCGUAAGAAAACUUACACACUCGACCAUUUUAUUAUAAUUUGGACUUACUGAAGUAUACUAUUCACUCAGAUUUAUCAACCAUAUAUAAGUCACUUUAUUAAACCAUGAUUAUUGUAAAAUAAAAAAAUUUUUGUCUUUCAAUUGUAAAUGGACGAACUGUUUAUACUCGACCUUUAUAUAAUUGUAUAAAUAUUAACCUUUGUAUAACUCAAAAUUAUAGUUUAUUCUAUCAAUCUUAAUAAAUUGGAAGUAGAUGAUUUUGAUUUGCAAAUGUUUUCGCUUCCAUAUUUGUAACUAUUUUGAUUUUAAAAAUUCAAUAAACAAAUAAAGUUGACCGAAGUAUUCUCUAAAUGCCGACCAUUUUAAUUAACAAAACUUAAAAACUUUUAAGGAGAAUUGGGCCAGCAGUAAAUCCUUGAUUAUAUGUAAACUGAUAACCUUCAAAAACCAUUUAAAUUGGCUUUCUUAACCCAAAAGUAUUCUAAUCCAAUGUUUGCUAUAUGAUUUCGAACCAAGUUCGAUUUAUUCAAUUCACAAUUAAAUGACGAAGAGAAUAUUUUAAUGAGUUCAAAUAGUUUUACUUUAUUAAUAACUUAGUAGAAACCUAAUGAAAGUGAGAAUAUUGGAAUCUUUGACUCUCUUUGUAUUUGAGAGUAUUUUUGCUUUUUUAUUUAUUGUUUUAGAUUUCAAUGCUAUAUUUAUUUGGUUUAUUAAAAAAAGAAAAUGCUCCUUCAAAACAUUUCAUAAAUUCUCUGCGAGUUACAUGAGAACUACGACAUUCAUUAUUUUUAUAUAUGCAGAUACAAGUUUUUUUUUUUUUUUUGAAUGAUAUAUGCAGAUACAAGUUGAUCGUUAUUACAUUUUCCAUAUAUAUAUAUAUAUAGUUGUUUUCUGGUUAUGCCUUUAAAAUCAUGCCGUUUUAAAGUUUUCCUAGAUUAUCCCGCACUUUAAAAUUUCGGAUUGGAAUAUUUCUCUCUCUCUAUAUAUGUGUGUGUGUGUGUGUAUUUGAAGUUUUUUGGUCCGAAAUUUUAAAAUACGGGAAAGUUGGAGAAAGAUAUUAAAUCCCACGGUCUAAGAGCAUUAUGAAAUUAUACCCUCAAACAAUACGAUUUAAGAGAUUUCUCAAACUUUCCUAUACUUUAAAAUCCUUGAUUGGAACAUAUAUAUAUAUAUAUAUAUAUAGUAACUAAACUAUGUCUCCAGGCAACUAGUUAGCCUUGAACUUUGAUUGAGGAGCUUUCACUACAUAUGGAUCAAGUUGGAAUGCCCUAGCGAAAGCAUAAGGAUCAAUUGGUGGAGUAGAUCCGAAGAUUGCAUCUGCAAUUGUAAUAACACCAGGAUUCUAGUUGCUCAAAGCAGCAGUGGCAAACGGCACUGCUUGGUCCAAUAUUCGCUUGGAAAUGAAUGAGCCCAAUUGGAAACACAAACACGUCUCCUUUGUUCAGGGCUCUGGCGAAGAGCGUGUUAUUUAGCUGGUUUGAUGUCACAAAACCAACAUAGAGAGUGCCCUCCAGGACUACUAGGAUUUCUCUAGCACAAGGGUGAGUGUGAGGUAUGUUUGGCCGCCGUUUGCCACGUAGUCGAUACGAACUACGGAUAUGCCGAGUAGUGCUGAGCCCUCGAAUCUGUUCUAUAUUUACAGUCGUGACUGUUGAGCCAACUUGCUUUGUUGUGCUUUUAGGGAUAUUGUGCCCUGAAAAUCAAUCAAAACUACUUGUUAAAAAGAUUCUGUUUCGUUUUUAACUUUUUUCGUGUCUUUUACUAUUUUACCCCCAUAAUUAGACUUUUGAUACACAAAGGUCAACAAUUAAUCAAUAAAAGGAAAAAAUUAAUCAUAAGUCUGAUUUUCAUGGUAAAAUAAAAAAAUAGACAAAAAAUUAGAAAGUUCCUGUACUCAUUUUAAUGCCAAAGAGUAGUAAUGAGUUUUGAAACAUAAGGAGAGAAAUAAUAGAUCUACUUGAACAAUAGGAGGAUUUUGAUCAUUUUCCCACUUAUAUACAGAAAAACGAUACACAUCACAUGUCUUGAACUUGAAAUCAUUGAUGUCAACACAACCAAGAGGACAGAAGCUACAAGAAAUUGAACUCCUUUCAUGUUGAUUACUCUAGGUAUGUGUCAAUAGGGCAUAAGUAGCCUUUCAUAGUCGGAUUGAAUUAUAAAGAUGCGAAGACUUACCAAGUUUAUUGGUUCUUUUUUUUUUUCAUGCUUUAUAAAUGAAGAUUAGUGAGUUCUCCAUGAGACUAUCCUUAGAUAUUUAUUUUUUUAAUUUGAUAAUGUUCAACGGAUAAUUUUUUAAUUCUGUAUUUGUUGUAAGUGCUUAUUUUUCGUACAUCUAAUCUUCAUAUGUCGGCUGCUGCUAGUGUAUAUCGACUAGACUGACACCACUACUAGAAAUUGUUUAUGAUCAAUGUAAAUAAAAAAGUGGUGUUUUGUUAAUAUUGGGGACUGUGGUCGUUCCGUUCAAAUAAUCUUCUAAACUUAAAAUGUCGUUUGAUGAACCAUAUAUAUGUCACAUAGAUUUACUCAUUUAUAAUAUUUUAUAUAGCACACAGUACAUGGAACAAGAAUGUGUGGAUAGUCUAUCUCGAAUGAUCUAUCUCUAUGUCAUAAAUUAAUCUUCAAUCUGAAAAUGUACAUAUGCACUCCUAAGAUAUUAAAAAACGUUUCAACAUAUUUUCAUACUUAUAUGAUCAUAUCAUUUUUUUUUCCUUCCAAGUGGGAAAAUAUUUCAUGGUCUUGGAUAGACAUCCACCCUCUUUGUGGUGUGCAUGAGUCUAUUAUUUUUAGCAAUCUAGGGAAGGAUGAUGGAUGAGGAGAAAAAGAUUAUUUAUGAAUUGACUUCUGUAAUACUGAUAUAGUCACAAAUUUAAAGAAGUAACGUUACCCAAACAAAGUCUGUACCUCAACAAACAUGAGACCAUUUAAUUCAAAUCUACCACAUGAUUAUGUGAAAUGAUAGUUAAUAAUUCAAAUAUUAUAAAUAUACUAGAUGAUUUUAAAUGUCAUGUCAAUUUAUCUCUAACUACAUAAGUAAAAUAUUAUUGUUUGAUGAGAUAUGUUGAUAUAUAUAUAAUUUUCUACCUACUCAUAGUUUACGUUCCUCGACAAAGUGUUCGGAUCUUUCUUUUUUUAAUUUUUUUUUUUUUUUUGUGGCAAAAUUGUGAAAACAAAAUAAAAGAGAUGUUCAUGGUCAAAAAUUCUUUCAGCAAGGAUAAUCUGGUCAUCAGCAUCAGCUGUUUAAUAGAGAAGGUUAUAAAAAACCAAAAGCAAAGUUUUUGAAAACUAGAUAGGUCGUACAGGGAUAUUGACAUGGCUUGAAAGUAUGUUAAUGCUUCUUUUUCUUUUCUUCUCGUUAUAAGCACACAACGACAUAAUUAAUUGAUUGAUGAAAAAUCGAUGCUUUAAAGCGACUGAAGCUUUAGUAGUCCCAGCAAAAAAUUUAAACAAAGUCAGUACAUCAAAUUUUCAUUGAUUGCACCUUUUUUUGGCCAAAAUAACUCCAACAAGUAAGAACCCUCUCAGUCAAAAUUGUAAAUCACUGUAAUAAAAAAUUUUAAAGUCCUAUGUUAUAUUCUCCGUACAAGAAAUUUUAAAAUACAUUAAAGGAAAUUCAACUAAUUGACAUUUGUAUAAUAUGUAUGUUAAAUUUUAUAUAAUUACACUUGUAUAGUAAUUUUUCAAAAUAAAUUUACAUAUGGCAUAAUUUCAUUUAUUUGUUGUAUGAUUGAUAUAAUAUUUUAAAAGUACUUUAAAUUUUCUCUCUCCAUAGGGUUUUAAUUUUUUAGUAGCUUUAUUAUUUGACAAGCCAUCUGAAGCAGCUUUUUUUUCUCGUAUUAUAUGUUUCCGUAAGAGAAAUCUGAACUUUUUUUUUUUUGCUCUUUUUAAACAGUUUUAGUUUAAAUAAAAGUGUUGAAUUUUUAAUUCGAAUUCAUGACUAGUUUGAGUGCUUUUGGCUAGGGGUGGGCACGGUUCGGUUCGGAUCGAAAUUAAGUACAACCGAUUUAAAUCGGUUAUUUUAUAAAAAGAACCGAAUAAGAACCGAACUCAAUAAGAACCGAACUCAAACGGAUCUUUUCGGAUCGGUUCGGUUUUUUCGGUUCUGAGCCUAUUAGGCCUAUUUUGAAUUUUCAAAUUUUUAGCCCAUUGGGCCUUAUAAAUGUAAUAAUUUUUUUCAACAAUUAGUUCAUCCUAAUUUCAUUACAAAUAUUAACAAUAAAUACAAAGUAUUCAAAGCACAUUUUAUCACUAAUAUCUUACUAACUACUAAUAAGGUACUCACAAAAUAUAAAAUAUUAAAAUUUCAAAAUACAUAACCAAACUCCAAUACUCCAUCUACAUAAACAUAAUCAUAAUGUUGUAAAGACAAAUAAAAAUAACAACAAUUACAACUUACAACACAAAAUAAAAAGAAAAUUUAGAAACAAACGCCAACAACAUUCUCCCAUCUUCAUCAAUAUCAACAUCAACUUUAGGCAUUUUCCAACUCAAUAUUUGGAUCUAUAAAAAAAAUUUAACACAUGUCGAUUUGAAUAAAAUCUAAAAUUAAUUCGGUUUUUCGGUUUGGUUUUUCGGUUCAGCUGAGUGAACCGAAUACCGAACCGAUAUUUCGGUUUUUUUACAAAUGAUAUAUUUCAGUUUUUAAAAAAAUAAAAACCGAUCCGAAUUAGAAAAAACCGCUAGUUCGGUUCGGUAUUUUUAAGACCACGGUUUUUUUGCCCACCCCUACUUUUGGCAAGAAAGUUUGUUAUGCGUAGCGCACACUAACGGAAGUUAGUUACGGCAGUUGCUGCUUUGACUUUUGGUUGACCUAAGCUGUUAUAUAGGCUGAUAAGCAUAGUAGGUUCAGGAGCUUGUAGUUAAUUCAUUUCUCUGAGUUAUAAAACACUUGAUGACUCAUCAGAAAUCUGAUUGUAAUCUCUUUAAAUAUGAACCCUUUACUCUUAAUGAAAAAGAGCUUGAAGAUGGCUUACUGUGCAUAAACAUUGGUGGUUAGUGUUGAUAAUUUACGUGUGUGCUCUGCAUUCUGCUUGCUAGUUGUGUUUGUCUUGAUUAUUGGGGCAAAUUUUUGUUGCUAGUUGUGUUUGUCUCAAUUAUUGGGGCAAAUUUUGGUUGUGUUAGGAAAUUGAUGGGUGAAAUAGACACAUAACUAAAAUGAAAUUGAGAAACAAUGAUCACAUAGGGACACUAAGAUUUACAUGAUUCAACUUUUAGCCUACAUCCAUGGUGUUGUGCAAAUUUUAUUGAACUCGCAAGCGCAAAAAUUUAUUGUAGUAUAAAUUUAUAGUGACGAGUGUCGAUCCCAUAAGGAGGUAGAUUUAAUCAUAUGUAGGGUUAAUUUUCCAAGUUCAUAUGUGUAUUGCUUAGAAGUAAUUUCUUUAUCUUAAGAUUUAAAAUAAAAUGACAGGAAUGAAUUAAAGAUGAAACUAUACAAAUGAAGUGCUUAAGUUUUUAGAUUCACACUCAACACUUCACUAUGGACUUACUAUUCUUUUUUUUAGUUCCAAUUAAUAUAUGAGGGGUAUUUCCACUCCUCAUAAGCCUCAUUCUAAUAAAUAUAGUAUCAAGCACUCAUUCUUACUACUUACUAGAACGAAACCCUUAUUUAUAGGCUUCACGUUCCCUCUUCCUCUAAUUUUUUUUUUUUUUUAAUAAAAGACUUAGUGGAUGUUGAAAGUUACACUAAUAAUAUGCUACUUACUCAUAUCUCCCAGUUACUCAACAAAUUAUGCCAAAAGUCAGAAUGUUGCAUGAUAACCACAUGCAAUUACUUGCUACAUGCAUGCAUAUGUUCGACAUUAUGUGUCUUUGCUCUUAUCAAGCGACAUCAGCAGGUCAUCUAUCAAUUGAUCUUGGGGCUUAAUAUAAUCUGUUUCACAUCAGAUUUUGCAUAACAAAAGUAACGAAGAGAUUAAUUAGAAUAAAUAAAUAUAUAUGUGUGUGAAUGUACCGACAAAAUAUAUGUGUAAGGAGAGGCAUGGGAAAGGCUUGGCUGCUAAAUAAAAACAACAAUAAAUUAUGUUUAUUACAUGGCUACAAUCAGCCUGGAGAGAGGUUCAUCAGAGACCUCUUUUAUUACAUUAAGAUAUGAUAAUCUGGAGUUAAAACAAUAAAGCCACUAGUGAAGAGGCCAUUUAUAUUAAAGCUCAUUAAUUCCUUCUCCUAAUUGCCAUUAAUGAACUUAUGCUGAAGAUCUAUCACUGUCUUUGGAUCCAACUGGAAUGCCUUGGCAAGAAAAUCGGGAUUGAUUGGAGGAUUAGCUCCAAAGACCGCGUCGGCUAUGGUAAUUUCACCCGGGAACUGGCUGUUUAGAGCAGAAUAGGCAACUGCAUUUGUUUUUCCAACGUUGAAUUGGAAGUGAAUCAAACCUUUUGGAAACACAAAAGCAUCUCCCUUAUUCAGAACUUUUGCGAUGAGUUUGUUAUUUAGCUGGUCUGAUGUCACAAAACCGACAUGAAGAGUUCCUUCCAGGACCAGCAGGAUUUCACUGGCACGGGGGUGAAUAUGAGGUGGCCUUUGGCCGUAUGGCGCAUAGUCAAUGCGGAAUGCUGAUAUGCCAAGGGUGUUGAGGCCUGGAAUUUGCUCAACAUUUGCAUCUGUUUCAUCAACACCAAGUCGAUUUGCUGUGUUUCCAGGCUUGUCUAGCCCUGAGAAGAAGAAAUCAUCUGCUCUCGCAAGCUUGGGGUCCUUGCAGAACUUCCCAUUCACAAACACUACAAGAACACACACACAUACACACACAAAGGGGGAAAAAAAGAAUAAUUAAGUAGCAGCACAAAUUAUAUUGAAAUUUAUAUGUUUCGUUAGUUCAGCUUACGUACCACCAUCCUUCGGGUCCUCGAUGGCUACACAGAUAUCUUGUAGAGGGCUAGGGUCAGAGGCAGAGGCCAAAGAAGAAGCCAAAGCCAAGAGAGCAAAACCUAUAAGAAAUUGAAUUGCCUUCAUGGUGAUUAAUUAACAGGAUGUACCUAUCUCAAACUUUAAUCAAGUGUUGUGAUUUGAGAAUAUUGCGAGGCAAACUAGACUAUUUAUAGAACGGAGUCCGUGAACGAGUUUGCGUGUUCAAUUAAUUAGUCCUCGAAGCCGGUCAAGAUUACUGAGUUCUCAUUGGUUAUCUUUGUAAUGUUUCUCAGCCUUCAUUUUCAUUUUUGUUUUCAAAAUUUACACAUCUUAAAUAUAAAUUGUAAAACGUACAAAACAAAGUCUGGCUGACAGUGAUAAAACCCAGACAGGUUAGACACGUUUCCGCCAAUCUUCAAAGCGAACCAUAAAAUACGAUAAGAAACAAUAUUUUAACGCGUUUUCCAAAGCUUAAUUUAAAUAUAAUUUUUUCAUUGGAAAGAAACGAGUUGAAGAAUUUAUGAAAAUGGGUGAGAAAGAAAUUCAUGUCUCUAGCAACAGACUAACAGUUCGGAGUCAUGUUCUGUAGAUGUCGAUGUUACCGGACUUGAUUGGUUUGUUGUUGGACUUAAUGAAGAAGCAUUAUUAGCCUUUUUUUUUUCUUUUUCAUAGCAAUUUUCGUAGCUGCUUUAACCAUUUUUAGUUCUAUCAAUGCUUUACCGAGUCAAUGAUGCACAUGUUUUUUUCAUUACAUGUUAAAGUCACAAAUCAUCUGCUUCAAGAAAAAACGUGAAGACUAUGAUCAGGAGGAACCAAAAGUCUUCUAUCUUAUUUUCAGUGGUCACGUUAAUUAGAAGCUGGAGUCGGCACGUUUUGUUAGAGAUAGUGAAAUCCUUUUACAGUGUCAAUUGAUAUAUAUCAUUUCAACUUUAAAAGUUAAUUUUAAUAUUUGAUAAUUUUUUUUAAAAUCGCUUUUAGUAAAAUCAUGUAGAUCUUGAAAAGUAAAAAAAGAUUAGUUUUUUAAAAUUUGAUUUCGAUGAUCACUUUUAUACUUAAUACAAUUUCAUAUAUAUCCUUAUGUAUAAGAAAAAUCCAAAAUCAUCCUCAUUAAUUAGAAAAUAAAAUUAUUAAUUUGAAAGAGAUUAUUUGUAUUACCAAUUAUAUUGAGAUAACAAGAUAAAAAUAAAAUUAAUAAUGUAAAUAUUUAUUUUAGUUAUCAAUUUUUAUAUAUACACACCUAAAAAUAUUUUAUUUACAUGUUUAUAAAUUUGUAAAUAAAUUUUAUCCAACAAAUGUUCACUUUAAUCAUUUACAUUCUUACAACAUUUUAACAGUAAGAUUUACCAAAUACAUACGACUACUUUUAAAACCCACACACUUUUAAAAAUAAAUUUUACUGAACGUUUAAUUGGUUCUCUAUUAUAGCUGAUUAUUUCUACAGUAUGACUAACAGUAAUUAUUUUACAAGUUAUAACAUUAUUAAACUAGCCCAUAGUGACUCAAUUGAUUAAAACUAAGUCAAUUAAAUCACUAAGUUAGGAAAACAAACCGCCCUUUAGUAAAUUUCUUAAUGUAAAUAUUAGUAAAUUAUGAUGGAAAUAAAAAUAAUAAUCUCUUCCUUUGUUCACCUUUUAAUUAAAAUCCGUUUCAUUAGCUAUUUUGAAUAACAAACUGAAUUGAUCACGAAAUAAUAAUCUCUUUUUCCAAUCAUAAUCAUUUGUAAGGACAUUAAUUAUGUAUUUUUAAUGGGUUCAUAUGUUAAUUAUAUUGUAUACCGUUUGUCAACCAAACUGGCAACCAUUUUAUUGGUUAAAAUUCAUUCAUAUCAGUAUUUAAGAUACGCAUCACUUUCUAGCAACAAUGCGUCAAUGUUAUAUAUGUUCCCGUUCAAACUUUCCACUUGCUGCUUCACCCAUGUAAGUUAUGAAAAAGUUGCUGAGAAAAUGAAAAAAUAAACCAUGGCCAUGAAAAUAAUAAAACGCCGCCAGCCGUUUAGUAUAAUUCUAGGAGCGAUUUAUCAUUUCUUUUUCCUUUUUGCUUUUUAUUUCAACAAUUUAUUAUUGACUAGUGUAUUGCAGGCUUGCAUCAAUGAAGUGUUUGGAUCAUUUAUCCCCUUUUUUUCAAAUAUAAUUCAGAUAUAAUUCUAGAUUAUGCUGGUAGAAACAUCGUCUCAAAGAUUCUAUUGGGUCAUCAAUAGCUGUAUAUGAGUAUAUCUUGAAGAGGGCUACUUUUUCUAGGAUAUGCUGCUAGAAAAUUUUGCAACACGUAACCACUACGAGUUAGUCUUUUUUGUUUAAUUAAGACUCUAAUCUCCCUUUCUAGAAUGCAAGAUAAAAAAUUAAGCUAGAAACGUUAUAUCAAAAUAAUGAAUAGUUACUAAUUUUUGUCAAAUAUAAUUCUAGACAUUCUAGUCACACAUUUUACCAUUUAGUCCAUAAAUUUUCAAAGUACAUAUUAUAUUUCUAAUAUUAUACUUUUAUGUUCAAAUUACUCUGUUGAAUUAUACAUGCGGCUUUUUAACAUAUUAUCCGCUGUGGGUUUAGAUUUAGUAAUGGCAAACCCGCUGCGGGUGCUGCCUAUUGCUAUCUCUAGCCGUGUACUUUUUUUUUCCUUUUAACUACAUUGAUGGAAAGCUGAAUUUUGACUUUUUAUAUUCUGACGAUCCUUCCUUGUACUUCAGUAUGAAGGAAUACGAAGAGAGGGCUGUAUCUUUGGCAUUGGAUCGGCAAAAGCUCCAGGCCCUCACCAAUAAACUUAAAUCAGUACGCUUGACAUGUCCUCUAUUUGACACAGCACGAUGGAUGAGUUGAAACUAAUGUUUGCGAUUGUUUUGCAGUUCUUGGCCCACUUUGUGAAAGAAGUGACUUACAAAUGGAUGCUUUUUUUUUUGGAAAUUGCAAGUCAAGAAUCUGGAGAGGUCAUAUAUCAAAAUGUGGAGUCUCCAUUGCUCUGGGCAGAAGCCCCAACACUUCAAAGUAACUGAGAAUGACUUGGACUUCCCUUGCGAUAGAUAGGUAUAUGGGAAGGGAAACGGGAUUGUAGAUAAAAGCAAAUAGGAAUAGUAGAACGAUGAUUAUUAUUGUAUUUAGAAGAAGAAAUUGUUUCACCUUAUUCAAAUGACGCCAUGGCUGAGUUUGUGAUGUCAGUGCUGAUAAUGGAUUGUAGUCUGUGUACAAAUGUACUUUUCUAUUUAUAAGGAUUUGUGAAAAACGUUGGAGAUUAGAAAAGAAAAUAAAUAGAUUCUUCCUCAAGCCAUCAGUUCUGUUCUAUUAGAGUUGGGACCAGUGGCACCUCCCUAAUCUCAUCAUCAAAUUCCUUCUUCAGUUAUAUUUAUUUCAUCUGUGAAAACGUCGUUUUUUUUCCUUUUUUUUAAGAACACUUUUAAUUUUUAUUUUAUUUUUUUAGUUAAAAGUAGUAUUGUGUUAUUAAUUUUUAUUUCUUUUGUAAUCUUAUUAUUAUCUUAUGCACAAGAUAAAAGAUUUUUUAGGUGACGAGUUUUUCAAUAUUAAUUAUUUAAUUAAAUUAUACAUAUGUUAAAUUAUAAUUUAAAAAUAAAUUUAAGUAUAAAAAUAUUUAAUCGAUAACAAAUCUGAAAAUAAUAAUAGAUUAUUUCAAAUUUUGUAUGGUUUAUUUUAGUUAGAUAAGAAGUAACCGGUACAAAAUUUUAAAAAAAAAAAGAUUGAUUAUAAUUGUAAGUAAUUUUUUUUUUUAAAAAGAUAGAUUAUCAAUAUAAGUGAUUUAUUGAAAAGAAAAAUUUGUGUAUGAUUAAUUUUAUUUGAAGCAGGGUUUUUGAAGGAUAAUGAAGGGGUCCCAAACACUGUGGAGUUGUUGGCUCUUCCGCUGUCAAAGUCACGUAUGCUUGGAAGCUUUUAACCACCGCUGUCAAAAGUCACGUAUACUGCAAUUGGAUCAUGGAUUUUUCAUUUAAUAAGAUAACCACCGGCGGCAACUCUGAUAUACAAAAACAUGUAUUUCAGAUUACGGAAUCUAUCCAAACAUAUAGCAUGCGAGUGCGAUUACCAGCUCGAGCAGUUUUUAUUGCGGAAUUCUUUCAAACACAUAGCACGCAUGUGAAGUUCCCACAUUGGACCUUCCAAGAUGUUAGUUUCUCUAUUCAGAAACCGAACUCAAUGCCUCAUCCCCUCCUUCAAAACCAUGACCACCGCAGCCGCGGCUAAAACCUCAAAAGACGAUUACUUCGCAGCCGUAAACCACAUCGCCAUCAUAGUCCGUCACUACAUAUAUCCAGAACGCACCCUCAACAGACUCAACCUCACCCUCACCUCAGAGCUCGUCUACCGCGCCUCCGCGUCUGCCACACUACUUGCCCUUCCAAAUCCCUCCGCUUCUUCACCUGGGCCCGCUCCCAGCCCCAAUACUCCCCCACUUCCCUCGAAUUCGAACAGCUCAUCUGACCCUCGCCCACCACAAACUCUACCAGUCCAUGUGGAAUCUACGUUCUUCUGGCAUUUGAUUGCGUUCCACCCAAGCACGCUGUUAUUUAUUUUUAAGAAAUAAUGGUGUUUGUAAUUAUUGUCUUUUCUGGCUUUAUCUAGAGUUUAUCUGAGAAAUAAACAGUCAUAAAUAGUUUUGGUUGAUGGACUCUUGGACUUGGUAUUGGAAUUUGGAUUGAAGCAGAGGCGGUUGGCUCGGAGAAAUGAUUACUUUGAACAUUUUUUGCAUGCAUGUAUUUUAUGAUUUUUCAUUUGCUUCUAACCUUGUUGUUCAUUCAAAUGAAAUCAAAUACUCAUUUGGUAUGAUAGAAUCAGUGGGCAAUCAUUUUUAUUUUAGCUUAAAAACCAGGUUAUCUUUGCAUAGCUAUAGUUUUAUAGUUUCUGUUUCUGUGCUUUAUGCUUUCAAAUACUGAUGAUGAACCGAGUGUUUAGCCCAGAGCAAGCUUUCGGGUUUAAGGACAUUAAUUUGCAGCUGAUUCAGCGGUUACACAUACAAUGAUAAAAAUGUGUACCCAAACGCACAGUUUAUGAGCAUGUCUCUCACUGUAUACACGAUUGAGAGUGGGUCCGCCUCCUACUUUAUAACAAUUUAUGUUAGAGUAAUGAUACAGCUACAAACUCUUGUACAAACUUAUUUUGUACAAACUGACGUGGCAUUAAUUCAUUGGUUGAAUGAAAAUAUAAAAUAGUAAAAACAAAUUAUGUGGGCCAAGUGAUAUUUAAUUCAACCAAUCUUAUCAUGCCACAUCAGUUUGUACAAAAUAAGUUUGUACAAGAGUUUGUGGCUAUAUCAUUACUCUUUAUGUUAUACUGACAAUAUUUUCCGCAGUGAUCGCAUGUUUGAAGUUUUGCUUCUCGAAAUGGCUCCUUUCAUUUUUUUCUUUAUUAAAAUAGACAAUUUUCGUUUUUCGUUUUCGACAAGGAAGGUAACUGAUAUGUUUAACGAAGGGAUGAUGUUUUCCUUCAAAAAAUAGUUCAGAGUUAUCGGUAGCGUCUUGUCUUUAAUUUUCUGAACUCCGUGCAGUUGGUGUAAUAGUUUUUGCUGUUCUUCUCUUUGCGGCUAGUGCCUAGAGAGAUGGAGAGAAGCUGAAUGUGAACUAGGAAGGUGGAAAUGUUGUACAUUAACAUACGUAAUCAACUACGACUAUAAAUCCUUUUCAUGGACCCAAAACAUCAUAUCAAUCAAUGCCAUUAUAGUUAUCAAAACUAAAAAAUUAUGGCUUUUGAUAAGUUACAGCUUGUUGUAAGUUUUUGUCCUUACAAAAACAUACAAAAAAUAGUAAUAUGACAGUGAGCACACUUAAUUUUUGUAUGGGCUGUAAAUUACGCUAACUUAGUGUAACUAAAUGUAUUAUAAGAAAGACAAAAUUUAUUGAUUUUUUUCUUAACUAAGUGAUUAGAAUACAUUUACUCAUAAUUAUCGAAGCAGAAAUUAAGUGAUAAUCAAGGGCUUGUAAAACACUUAAUUUCAAACCUCUAAAUUUGAGAACUAUAACAAUAAGAGAAGUUAAGUAACAAUUAAGUGCUUAUAAAACGAUAACUUUUAUUAUAGGUAAAGGAGAUAUGUAUUCAAUAACUAACCACAGGCUGAAGCUCAUCUCAUAUGAAUACUAUUGUGCGAUAGAGAUUACAAUUGUAUGACAAAUGACCCUUGAUAAAUUUAGACAACUAGUAGAAAUUAGAAUUUAAAUUUUUUAUUUUUAAGUUUUUCCAAUAUUCCAAUGUUAAACAUUUAAUUAAAAUUAAAUAAAUCUUAAGGAUAUAUAAAAUCAUGUUUUUAUAAUAGGCCUAAAACGAAACUUUAGAAAAUACAUUUUUUAUGUUAAUUUCUCUUAUACAUUUAUCUGUUACAUACAAAUAUGAUAUGAAUGAGUGAUAAACUCUUUCAUAAAUUAUAUAUUUGACAAGACCAAACCAAAACUUCCACAAAAUAAAUAAUUAAUUAGUUAAUCCAAAACUACCUCGGUUAAUCUGUUAAAUGUUGAAUGUGUUUGAAUAAAGUAAUUUAUAACAAUUUUAAACAAAAUAAAUUUGGUCUAUUCUAUAUUUCAGUCGUCAAUGAGAGUUCUUUUCACCCUUCAACUACUGGACUCUCGCAAUUUAGAGUUAUCAUUUUUAUUAUUAUUGUUAUUGGUCAUAAUUUUAAAAUUUGUUGGGAAAUCUGCGGAAUUAUAUAUUAAACAUCUAAAUUAAUAAUAUGUAUGAAAUAAAUGGCAUCCCACACAAAUAUAAACAAUAAUUUUACUUGAAUUAAACACCCAAAUCCUAUAUUAUAAUAUUAUGCAUAAUUAAACUUACACACUAGACCAUUUUAUUAUAAUUUGGACUUGUGAAGUAUAUUAUUCACUCAGAUUUAUCAACCGUAGAUCACUUUAUCAAACCAUGAUUAUUGUAGAAUUAAAAAAGUUACUGCUUGUCAACUGUAAAUGGACGAACUGUUUAUACUCACCCUUUAUAUAAUUGUGUAAUUAAUUAAUCUUUGUAUAACUCAAAAUUAUUGUUUACUCUAUCAAUCUUAAUGAAUUGAAAGUAGAUGGUUUUAAUUUGCAAAUGUUUUUGCUUCUAUAUUUGUAACUAUUUUUAUUUAAAAAAAUUCAUUAAACAAAUAAAGUUGACCAAAGCAUUCUCCAAAUGCCGACCGUUUUAAUUGACAAAGCUUAAAAACUUUUAAGGAAAUUGGGGCAGAAUAAAUCCUUGAUUAUGUGUAAACUGAUAACCUUCAAAAACCAUUUAAAUUGCCUUUCUAAAGUAUUCUAAUCCAAUAUUUGCUAUAUGAUUUCGAACCAAGUUCGAUUUGUUCAAUUCAUGAUUAAAUGGCAAAGAUAAUAUUUUAAGGAGUUGAAAUAGUUCCACUUUAUUAAUAACUCGGUACAAACCUAAUAAAAAUGAGGAUAUUGGAGUCUCUCGCUCCCCUUGUAUUUGAGAGUAUUUUCGCUUAUUUAUUUAUUAUUUUAGAUUUCUAUGCUGCGUUUAUCUAGUUUAUUAAAAAAAAAGGAAGAUCCUCCUUCGAAAAAUUUCACAAAUUCCAUGCGAGUUAAGUAAGAACUACGCCAUUCAUUAUUUUUAUAUAUGCGGAUACAAGUUGAUCAUAUAUAUAUAUAGAGAGUAACUAAACUAUGUCUUCAGGCAACUAGUUAGCCCCGAACUUUGCUUGAAGAGCUUUCACUACAUAAGGAUCAAGUUGGAAUGCCCUGGCGAGAGCAUAAGGAUCAAUUGGUGGAUCUGAUCCGAAGACUACAUCUGCAAUUGUAAUAACACCAGGAUUCUGGCUACUCAAAGCAGCGAUGGCAAACAGCGUUGGUUGGUCGAAUAUUCACUUGGAAAUGAAUGAGCCCAUUUGGAAACACAAACACAUCUCCUUUGUUCAGGGCUCUGGUGAAGUGUGUUCUUUAGCUGGUUUGAUGUCACAAAACCAACAUAGAGAGUGCCCUCUAGGAUUACUAGGAUUUCUGGGGCACAAUGAUGAGAGUGAUGUGGGUUUGGCCGCUGUUUGCCGCGUAGUCGAUACGAACUAUAGAUAUGCCGAGUAGUGUUGUGCCCUGGAAUCUGUUCUACAUUUGCAGUUGUGACUGUUGAGCUAACUUGAUUCGCUACGCUUUUAGGGAUAUUGUGCCCUGAAAAUUAAUCAAAACUACUUGUUAAAAAGAUUCCGUUUCGUUUUGAAUUUUUUUGUGCCUUUUACUAUUUUAUCCCUAUAAUUAGACUUAUGAUACAUAAAAUGUCAACAAUUAAUCAAUAAGAGAAAAAAAUUAGUCAUAAGUCUGAUUUUAAUGGUAAAAUAAAAAAUAGACAAAAAAGUACAAAGUUUACGUAAUCAUUUUAAUGCCAAAGAGUUUUAAUGAGUUUUGAAACGUAAGGAGAAAAAUAAUAAAUCUACUAGAACAAUAGGAAGAUUUUGAUCAUUUUCCCACUGAUAUAAAGAAAAACGAUACACACCACACGUCUUGAUCUUGAAAUCGUUGAUGGCGACACAAAAAUCCUGAAGACGGCUAGGGUCAGAGGCAAUGGCCAAUGAACAAGCCAAAACCAAGAGAACAGAAGCUACAGGAAAUUGAACUCCUUUCAUGUUGAUUAGCCACAUGCAAUUAGGGAUGGCAAAAAUUCCUACGGGGACAGGUACCCUCGGGGAUUUUCCCCAUUCAGGGAGGGUAUGGGAAUAAUUUCAUACCCAAUUUCUUAUUCGAGGAAAGGAAGGAGAAAUUUUUUUACCAAUUUCUUAUUCGGGGAGGGGACAUGGAUGAGGUGGAAUCCUCAUCCCCUACCCGUUUUCCCAUUUUAAUUUUUAAUUUUAUUAUUAUUUUUUAAAAUUACUAGUAAAUAAAUAAUAAAAUUUGAAUUAUAAAAUUAUAAAUAUUGGUAAAAAUAACAAAUAUCAAAAUAUUUAUAUUAUUAAACUUUUAGGCUUAAUUAACUAAUUAAAGUUCUAAAUUUUUAUUUAGGACAUUAAAAAAACCGGGUAAAUUCUAUUAGCCCAAAAAUUUUGUUUUAAUUUUAAUAUUCAUUAAAUGUUUUAAACUUAAAUAUAUUUUUUAUUUAUUUUUAGAUGUUAUAAUUGCCCACAGCGAAUCACAAUUUUAAUAUCUAAUUUAAUCUAAUAUUUGCUCUUGAUUUGCUCCGACUUAACUAUUGUGUUGUAAAGGGAAUAGUCCACAUUUAUAAAGUGCCAUGCCACCAUUGAAAAAGUUAAUUUUGAAUCUAAAUUCGAUUUUAUUUGUAACAAUUUUGUAUUAGACUAUUAAUUUAUUCAUGAUAGUUUGUAAAAGAAGUUUGUAUCCCUUACAUGCUGCGUUACUUACUAAUUUAAUGUANNNNNNNNNNNNNNNNNNNNNNNNNNNNNNNNNNNNNNNNNNNNNNNNNNNNNNNNNNNNNNNNNNNNNNNNNNNNNNNNNNNNAAUGUAUUAGUUAUUCGGGGAUUGAGGACCCUUGGGGAUCCCCUAUUAUUAUUCGGGGAGGGGAUGUAGAUUCUCUCAAGUAAUUCUGACGGGGACGGGGACAUACGCAAAAUAUCAGGGAUGGGUACGGGGGGAUUGGUCCCCUCCCCUCCCCUCCCCAUUGCCAUCCCUACAUGCAAUUGCUUGCUACAUGCAUGCAAAUGUUCAACAUUAUGUGUGAUUGCUCUUAUCAAGCGACAUCAACUAGUCAUCUACCAAUUGAUCUUGGGGCUCAAUAGAAUCUGUUUCACAUCAGAUUUUGCAUAACAAAAAGUAAUGAAGAGAUUAAUUAAUAUAUGUGUGUGUGUGUGUGUGUGUACGGAAAAAAUAUAUGUAUAAGGAGAGGCAUGGGAAAGGCUUAGCUGCUAAAUAAAACCAACCAUAAAUUAUGUUUAUUACAUGGCUACAAUCAGCCUGAAGAGAGGUUCAUGAGAGAGCUUUUUUUUUACAUUAAUUAAGAUAUGAUAAUCUAGAGCUAAAACAAUAAAGCCACUAGUGAAGAGGCCAUUUAUAUUAAAAGCUCAUUAAUUCCUUCUCCUAAUCGCCAUUAAUGAACUUAUGCUGAAGAUCUUUCACUGUCUUCGGGUCCAACUGGAAUGCCUUGGCAAGAAAAUCGGGAUUGAUUGGAGGAUUAGCUCCAAAGACCGCGUCGGCUAUGGUAAUUUCACCGGGGAACUGGCUGUUUAGAGCAGAAUAGGCAACUGCAUUUGUUUUUCCAACGUUGAAUUGGAAGUGAAUCAAACCUUUUGGAAACACAAAAGCAUCUCCCUUAUUCAGAACUUUUGCGAUGAGUUUGUUAUUUAGCUGGUCUGAUGUCACAAAACCGACAUGAAGAGUUCCUUCCAGGACCAGCAGGAUUUCACUGGCACGGGGGUGAAUAUGAGGUGGCCUUUGGCCAUAUGGCGCAUAGUCAAUGCGGAAUGCUGAUAUGCCAAGGGUGUUGAGUCCUGGAAUUUGCUCAACAUUUGCAUCUGUUUCAUCAACACCAAGUCGAUUUGCUGUGUUUCCAGGCUUGUCUAGCCCUGAGAAG
rnacentral:lncRNA from 1 species